GAAAGUGUAGUUCGGUGGUGGGGCAUCUGCUUUGCACGCAGAAGGUUCUGGGUUCAAGCCCCAACAUCUUCA